rnacentral:lncRNA from 1 species
AAAUGGGUUGGACAUAAAAAAACUGGACGAACCAAAUGGCAAUAUCUAGAAUCAUAAUUUGCAUGCUUUUCACAGUUCAAUACUGUGAACAGAAUGCGGUCCUAAUAUUAAGCAUACAUAACUCCCUAUGGCGCCUACACUAAAAGAAUUUCAUUGGAACUCCGCCAUUUUGUUCCACAACUGCGCAGUUGCGCGACCCCGAUAGCGUCGGGUAUAAAAGCGGGUGACGUCAGCCGCGCACUUCAUAAAAUUUCUCAUCCUGGUGCAGUGCGGACGUCUGUGAAGUGAAGUGCUAGAAAAUUCUACAGAGCUCUGUGCCUGGUCGUUGCAGUCCCAUUGCGUUUCGCGUGGGUCUGCAACGCACGGCCGCCAUCUUGGCUGUCGGGACGCCAUCGCUGAGCCACGAAAUGGGUUUGUAGUAACGGUAUCAUGCAUUUAUUUAGUUGAAUUUUAUUUUAAAGAUGUGUUCAUUGUUAGUUAAUAUUUCAGUUUUCUAUUGAGAGAUAGUCUAUUGGAAUUAAAGUUUUAUUCAUAUUGAAUAAGAAAUUGUAACAUAUGUUUAAGUAUGAUAAUAAAAAGAAUUUCAAAAGUAUUGCGUUUACGAAUUUUAUUUCUAAUCUCUACUUGUAUUUUGUUUAUUGGAAUUUCACCCACCCGUGUAUUAUUCCAUGAGUCACCACCGACUUCAUGAAGAUCUACGUAGCCGACGGCGUGACGUGUUCGAGAUUCCGAGAGCUGCCUGCGACGAAUCCACUGCUCCUGGUUUGCGAGACUGCCAAGUUGGCUCUACAGAGCGGCCGUGCACAGAAAUAACUGCGACUUGCGCUUCCAAUCCGGUAUCAGCCCACAGUAGGUAACAGUUAGGCUGUUGCGUCAUGAUUUCAUAACCUAUAACCAAUACUUGGCCCCACGCGGCCGUUUGGCAUGUUGUUCUUUUCGAGCCCCAGAUCCUUGGCCUAAACAGCUGAGGCGAGUCAACAACGCACGGACUCCUGUCUACGCUAACUCGCCUGAGUUAGCACCGCACGCUCUCUGCUUACUCGCCUGAGUUAGCAACGCACGCUCUCUGCUUACUCGCCUGAGUUAGCAACGCACGCUCGCGCCCAGUGACGGCUGGUGGGUGGCGAACGGCGUGUCGUGGCCGUUCCGGUUCAUGCAUAGGUGGUUUGUUCACAGUUAUGCGUCGGUGAGUCAACUGUUUACACAGAAUAACCUAUGACUUCAUUACUUGCCUUGAUUUGACGUAUUUUCCUAUACAUUAUGAUUUAAUUGUGAUUUAGAGGAAAAACAUUUGUAUAACUUAUGUUUGGCGUGGAGAUAAUUGAAUUAUUUAAAGUAUAAUGCUUCUAUCUGUAUUGAGGAUCAAUUUAUUGAGAUUUGCAUUAACCGUUUAGAGAUUUGCGAAUAAAUUGACAACUGUGUAUAUAGUAGGGCAAUGUUGUGCAAUAACAUUGAAUUUGAACAGGCUUCCUCCUAUGCCAUGAACCUUGGAACAGGCCACACGCUGCGAACGUCUAUACUAUAUUAUCCUGCUGAAGAGUUGUGGGACGUCUUCUGACGUAUGCUGAAGGUCUCCGCCUCUAGCCUAAAUAGGUAACGAAUUAGCCUAGCAAUACUAGGACUUUAUAACAUUGAAAUCUUAAUUUGAAUAUUUAGGAAAGGUGUGCGAUGUUGAGCAAAUGUGGGCUGAUCUAUACUGGAAGCACAUUGGACGAAAACAUGACUAGUCGCUGUCGACUGGGUGCAAUGAUGGUGAAUAGGCGAGAUCGAUAAAGUUAAAGGUGGAACCUUCGAGAAGGCCGACCUAUGGCUUUAUAAAGACGAGCUGUCACCGACACCCUGGCGAAUUAUACCACAAAUAUCAAAUCAUUUAGGGGUCCUUCGAACAAGGCUAUCCAACAUCCCGACAUCAUUGGCGAAGUUGCAUCACUGGCGAAUUAGAACGAGUUUUAACAUAAAAAAACCAACCUGACUGACGCGAGGCAGGUAAGUGGUCAAGAAAUGUUGUGAGUUCGAUGAUUGAUCACUUAACUUCAAAGAAACUACUGAAUUGAUUUUAUAAACUUUAGAGGUUGCGUUUUUUAGAAAACUAAUGGUAAUGCAGAAAUUGAUUCUUUUUUUUAUCUGUUUUAUUUUUAAUACACAUGAAUCUGGAUUUUUGAUAUGAUUUGAAUCUGCCUAAAGGCAGGGUAGGGCAAUUAACCAUUUGAUAGUUGAAAUUUCAGAUCUUUUGUUAAAUGAGGCGCUCUAUAAACCUACAUAUACAUUAUACUUUCAUUCCGAAACAGCAUUUUAUAUUUAGAAUUUUGUUAACUGUUACGAGGUCGAUGUUACCUAGAAUACACACUUCGAUAGGCACUUGAGCAUAUAAUAUUCAGAACAAUUCGAUAGGACUAAGGUCAGUGGAAGGACAAAGGUAUUAUAAUUUCAAUUAAGCUCAAUUUGUACCUUUAUUGAAUGUUAAAUUGGUGUUCCGUAUUGCAUAUUUUGUGGCGAAGAUUCGCCUUGUGUUUGUUUUUAAUAUGUUCAGGGAUGCUGAUGUUUCGUGCGGUGGUUUAACUGUCAGUCUGACAAACAAUUGAACAUAUCUGCAAAUAUUGGUUGCUGUUCUACACCAGCUAAGCAAUAUCUAAACAAUGGAAACCAAUUCAAGGAUGUGUCUUAGGAAUUUCCCAGAAUUAAAAAAACCCAGGGAGCCUAAAUAACUCCAUGGCAUCGAAGUUGAUUGGAAAAUCCAAAAACUACAAAAGCCUCUAAAGUUGUAUCCGCAAUUACCAAAGUUUACGUAAUUUGCCUGUUUUCAACUAUACGCACCAACGUAUACACACUAUCGAAGGCUACUUUUACAUAUUUCGCUGUAGCCUUGGAGACUGCCCAUAAACAAUUGCAAGACUAUGGCGUAAUCAUCGUUCUACUUUCGACAUAUUCAUGUAGCUGCGUGGAGUAAUGAGAACUCAUUGAUAAAUUGUUCACAUUGAUGAAGCAAGCCAAUACAAUUACAACUGGAAAUUGUAGCAAAAUGUUACGUGAAGAAACAAUUCUUAUCAUAAUUACUACUUCUAUAUUUGUACUCUGGAUUAUAUACACAAAUUGCCGCAACUUCUUACAUAUAUUAUCAUUUCUGUCAAAAUCAAAUCACUGAAAUAGGAAAAUAUAUCCUGUAACAUGAGUAGGCGUCACGAAGAUGGACAUUUUUAAAAAAAGGGUAAGUGGUAACUUUCUUAGAAAUUAAAGAUUUUAUUUAUAGUACAUAGAAGGUAGUAUUUAUGGACAUGAUCUCCAAAUGACAUGGCAGACGAUCUCCAUCACCUAUAAACAGAACAGCAUUUCAUAGUGCAUGCAAGAUGUCCUAUAAAGUACCGCUGUUUUCAACCUGAGAUGUAAAGGUAUUGAGCCUAAAGCCGGAUUUAUAUUUGUCUGACGUGUCGUGUCGUGACGCGUCAGAACAGAAUCGCUAUCAUACAUUUUGUAUGGUAACGUUUGCACUUGUGACAUGUGAUGGCUUCUGACGCGUCGCAUAUAAAAUGUAUGAAGCCGAUUCUGAUUUGAGACAAAUGUUAAUCCGCCUUUUCGUGCCACGCCCUUCAGACUGGAAUACAGCUAUGUAGAUUGGCGUAUGUAAUACUUCCCUGUAGCUGUCACAAAAAUCUCUAUUGCUAUUAAAAUACAACUAAUGCCACAAAAACAAAAACUAAAAUUAGGUAUAGACCUACCUAAUUAUGGAUUGAACUUUAUUAACUUUACCUAUGUACACU